UACGUAGGGUGCAAGCGUUAAUCGGAAUUACUGGGCGUAAAGCGUGCGCAGGCGGUGAUGUAAGACAGAUGUGAAAUCCCCGGGCUCAACCUGGGAACUGCAUUUGUGACUGCAUCGCUGGAGUGCGGCAGAGGGGGAUGGAAUUCCGCGUGUAGCAGUGAAAUGCGUAGAUAUGCGGAGGAACACCGAUGGCGAAGGCAAUCCCCUGGGCCUGCACUGACGCUCAUGCACGAAAGCGUGGGGAGAAACAGG
rnacentral:rRNA from 1 species